CGAAAUAUAGCUUAAACAAAGCAUCUUGCUUACACCGAGAAA
rnacentral:tRNA from 1 species